rnacentral:rRNA from 1 species
UACGGAGGGUGCUAGCGUUGUUCGGAAUUACUGGGCGUAAAGGGCGCGUAGGCGGCUUAACAAGUCACUUGUGAAAUCUCCGGGCUUAACUCGGAACGGCCAAGUGAAACUGUCAAGCUAGAGUGCAGAAGGGGCAAUCGGAAUUCUUGGUGUAGCGGUGAAAUGCGUAGAUAUCAAGAGGAACACCUGAGGUGAAGACGGGUUGCUGGGCUGACACUGACGCUGAGGCGCGAAAGCCAGGGGAGCAAACGGG